rnacentral:rRNA from 1 species
AGCGACUGUGCAGGUUACCGCGGCUGCUGGCACGGAGUUAGCCGGUGCUUCUUCUGUGAGUGAUGUCCUUCCUGCCGGCUAUUAACCCGCAGGCCUUCUUCCUCACUGAAAGUGCUUUACAACCCGAAGGCCUUCUUCACACACGCGGCAUGGCUGGAUCAGGGUUGCCCCCGAUUGUCCAACUAUUCCCCACUGCUGCCUCCCGUAGGAGUCUGGGCCGUGUCUCAGUCCCAGUGUGGCUGAUCAUCCUCUCAGACCAGCUACGGAUCGUCGCCUUGGUGAGCCGUUACCUCACCAACCAGCUAAUCCGACAUAGGCUCAUCCGAUAGCGCGAGGCCCGAAGGUCCCCCGNUUUCCCCCGUAGGGCGUAUGCGGUAUUAGCCUGGGUUUCCCCAGGUUAUCCCCCGACUACCGGGCAGAUUCCUAUGCAUUACUCACCCGU